AACGAACGCUGGCGGCAUGCCUAACACAUGCAAGUCGAACGAGACCUUCGGGUCUAGUGGCGCACGGGUGCGUAACGCGUGGGAACCUGCCCUUAGGUUCGGAAUAACUCCCCGAAAGGGGUGCUAAUACCGGAUAAUGUCUUCGGACCAAAGAUUUAUCGCCUUUGGAUGGGCCCGCGUUGGAUUAGCUAGUUGGUAGGGUAAAAGCCUACCAAGGCGACGAUCCAUAGCUGGUCUGAGAGGAUGAUCAGCCACACUGGGACUGAGGCACGGCCCAGACUCCUACGGGAGGCAGCAGUGUGGAAUAUUGGACAAUGGGCGAAAGCCUGAUCCAGCAAUGCCGCGUGAGUGAUGAAGGCCUUAGGGUUGUAAAGCUCUUUUACCCGGGAUGAUAAUGACAGUACCGGGAGAAUAAGCUCCGGCUAACUCCGUG
rnacentral:rRNA from 1 species